rnacentral:rRNA from 1 species
AUUGAACGCUGGCGGCAUGCCUUACACAUGCAAGUCGAACGGUAACGGGCCUUCGGGUGCCGACGAGUGGCGAACGGGUGAGUAAUGCAUCGGAACGUACCUUUCAGUGGGGGAUAACGUAGCGAAAGUUACGCUAAUACCGCAUAUUCUGUGAGCAGGAAAGCAGGGGAUCGCAAGCCCUUGCGCCGAUUGAGCGGCCGAUGUCAGAUUAGCUAGUCGGUGAGGUAAAGGCUCACCAAGGCGACGAUCUGUAGCGGGUCUGAGAGGAUGAUCCGCCACACUGGAACUGAGACACGGUCCAGACUCCUACGGGAGGCAGCAGUGGGGAAUUUUGGACAAUGGGGGCAACCCUGAUCCAGCCAUGCCGCGUGAGUGAAGAAGGCCUUCGGGUUGUAAAGCUCUUUCGGCCGGGAAGAAAUCGUAUGGGCUAAUACCCUGUGCGGAUGACGGUACCGGCAUAAGAAGCACCGGCUAACUACGUGCCAGCCGCCGCGGUAACAC